AAUUUUGGACAACGGGCGCAAGCCUGACCCAGCCAUGCCGCGUGAGUGAAGAAGGCCUCCGGGUUGUAAAGCUCUUUCGGACGGAAGGAAAUCGUGCAGGCUAAUUCCCUGUGCGUAUGCCGCUACCGUCAUAAGAAGCACCGGCUAACAACGUGCCAGCAGCCGCGGUGAUACGUAGGGUGCGAGCGUUAAUCGGAAUUACUGGGCGUAAAGCGUGCGCAGGCGGUUGAUUAAGACAGGCGUGAAAACCCCGGGCUUAACCUGGGAACUGCGCUUGUGACUGGUCAGCUAGAGUACGGCAGAGGGGGGUGGAAUUCCACGUGUAGCAGUGAAAUGCGUAGAGAUGUGGAGGAACACCGAUGGCGAAGGCAGCCCCCUGGGCCGAUACCGACGCUCAUGCACGAAAGCGUGGGUAGCAAACAGG
rnacentral:rRNA from 1 species